AUUGAACGCUGGCGGCAGGCCUAACACAUGCAAGUCGAACGAGUGGCGGACGGGUGAGUAAUGUCUGGGAAACUGCCUGAUGGAGGGGGAUAACUACUGGAAACGGUAGCUAAUACCGCAUACCAUCAGAUGUGCCCAGAUGGGAUUGGCUAGUAGGUGGGGUAACGGCUCACCAAGGCGACGAUCCCUAGCUGGUCUGAGAGGAUGACACGCCACACGGGAACUGGAAAACGGCCAAGAUCCCUACGGGAGGCAGAAGGGGGGAAUAUUGGACAAGGGGCGCAAGCCUGAUGCAGCAAUGCCGCGUGGAUGAAGAAGGCCUUGGGGUGGUAAAGUACUUUCAGCGGGGAGGCGGUACCCGAAGAAGAAGCACCGGCUAACUCCGUGCCAGCAGCCGCGGUAAUAC
rnacentral:rRNA from 1 species